GGGGGGGAGAGCUGGCGGGCAGCCAGCUGCCAUCAGAAUUAGCUCAUUGUUCAAUAUAAACCAGCGCUGGCAACCAAAACCCAGCCCGAGAGGGAGAGGGAGAGAGAGAGAGACUUUCCCCCAGCCACCCCCACCCCUUUUUCUCCAAGGCUGCACUUUGGAAGAGAUCAUGUAGAAAGGACAGAAAGUGAGCAGGGAGCGGGGGCUUUUGUCUAUCCUUGUGCUACCUGAGAGAAACUGCAGUCCCAAGACUUUACAGUC